UGAAACACAGAUAAGAAUCAGAAGAGGACUCGGCAAAAGAGAUGGUGGUUCUUUUAACAAGAUUAUUUCAACCGGUUCUUCAUCUGGCCUUCUGGAAUUCCUUGGUAUUUGAUUGGUAUAAAAAUUUCUGGAUGUAAAAGAGAACUCAGAUUGUCUUAUGCAAUUCCGAAUCAGCUCAACAUGGUUAGAGUUCAACGGCAUCAAAAUUUCUGAGAAAAGCAGAGACACAUCUUGGCAUUUCACUACACAUGCAUUGACUCAAUAUCGUUGAGGAUAACUUACUUUUUGUCUGAGAUAGUGAACUACAGGCCUUAACAACAAAAGUAAUUCCAUAUUCUAACAGCAAGUAAGAUCUUUUAUUGCUUGUUUAUUCUAGUGCAGGCAACUUCUUGAUGGAAUUUUUAUUCUUUUGAAUUAUUCAGUUUAUUAGUCGCUGCUAAUGAACAAUGGUGAAAGUAGAAAUUAGGUUAAAUUGAUAUGUGAGUUAAUCAGAUCCAAAGCAAGCGUUGGAAUGAUUGAAGAUUUGUGUCUAAUGGUGAUUAUCAGUCUAAUAGCAUUAGCAGGGUUGACCUGCACCCGCUAAUAGUGUUUUAAAACUCGGCUCGGCUUGACCGGUUGAACCGGUUUAAUCGGGAUUGGGGGCUUUCAUCGGGUUGAGUUACCAAUUUCUUUGUUCAUCGAAAACCCUAGACAUUGGGAUGAUGAUCAGCGAACAAUUGAAGGUUGGGAUGUUGGGGCUUUUGAAGAGAAAGGGUCGGUAGGGCUGGUUGGUGCAAUGAUGGUGAUGGAGGUGAUUUUCGGUGAGUGAAUAGAUCGGAAAUAAAAAAAAAAAGCGACGGCAGUAGUAGUCGGCUUUUGCCGGCGAUUGGCGAGGCGAACAUGGUUGGGGUGAGAUGAGUUUUGGUCAGGAGACUGAGGGGAGUACUUUCGGGGUGAUGGCGAUGGUUAUCGACGCUGAUGGUUCGAUUUUGGCCAGAUUUUGGGUAUAUUUUAUGGGGAAUGGGCUAAAGGGAUGGUUGGGAUUGCAUUUGGUGUGUCGUUGUUGCCAAUCGAUCGACUAUCGAUUUAUAUUUGAGGUGUGUUUGUUACAUUUCAAACUUGUAGGGACUUAAUUGUGAUUUUACAUUUGCGUUUGUUGAAUUUUAAACUUUUGAACAUUCGGUUAAACCAAUCCACCUAGGAUCCAACAACUUUGUCAGGUUUCACCUGAGAUGGUUAUUAAAACAUUGCCUGCUAAUACUGAAAUAUGACCUGCCCCAGCUAGUACUGAAAUGUUGCUAUGUGAAUAAACAAAUA